UACGUAGGGUGCAAGCGUUUGUCCGGAAUUAUUGGGCGUAAAGAGCUCGUAGGCGGUCUGUCGCGUCGGAUGUGAAAAUCCAGGGCUCAACCCUGGACCUGCAUUCGAUACGGGCAGACUAGAGUUCGGUAGGGGAGACUGGAAUUCCUGGUGUAGCGGUGAAAUGCGCAGAUAUCAGGAGGAACACCGGUGGCGAAGGCGGGUCUCUGGGCAACAACUGACGCUGAGGAGCGAAAGCGUGGGGAGCGAACAGG
rnacentral:rRNA from 1 species